rnacentral:rRNA from 1 species
UCAAGCGAUAGGUAAGGGCAUUUGGUGAAUGCUUGGCAAUCAGAGGCGAAGAAGGACGUGGUACACUGCGAAAAGUUACGGGGAGUUGUGAACAAGCAUUGAUCCGUAAAUAUCCGAAUGGGGAAACCCACAGAGCAAUCUGUACUGUAUGAUGAAUAAAUAGUCAUGCAGGGCGAACGCAGGGAACUGAAACAUCUAAGUACCUGUAGGAAAGGAAAUCAACCGAGACUCCGAAAGUAGUGGCGAGCGAAAUCGGACCAGCCGAUGGAUAGUCAGUAAAGAAUCAGAAUUACCUGGAAAGGUAAGCCGGAGAGGGUGACAGCCCCGUACGAGUAGAAAAGCUGACUGUUCUUGAGUAAGGCGGAGCACGAGAAAUUCUGUCUGAAAAUGGGGAGACCACUCUCCAAGGCUAAGUACUACUGAUUGACCGAUAGUGAACAAGUACCGUGAGGGAAAGGUGAAAAGCACCCCUAUAAGGGGAGUGAAAGAGAACCUGAAACCGGAUGCCUACAAGCAGUCGGAGGGUCUAUAAGGCCUGACGGCGUACCUUUUGUAUAAUGGGUCAGCGACUUAAUUUAUGUAGCAAGCUUAAGCCGAUAGGUGUAGGCGUAGAGAAAUCGAGUGUUAACAGCGCGUUAAGUUACAUGAAUUAGACCCGAAACCGAGUGAUCUAGCAUGAUCAGGUUGAAGGUGGGUAACACCAACUGGAGGACCGACCACUCCGUUGAAAAGGUAGGGGAUGAAUUGUGGCUAGGGGUGAAAGGCCAAUCAAACUCGGAAAUAGCUGGUUCUCCGCGAAAACUAUUUAGGUAGUGCGGUGAGCGGACACCUUGAGGGGUAGAGCACUGGAAGAGCUAAGGGGGAGCGAUCCUUACUAAACUUUACCAAACUCCGAAUACUCAAGAGUGAUACUCACCAGACAGACAUUAGGUGCUAAGGUCUAGUGUCGAGAGGGAAAGAGCCCAGACCGCCAAUUAAGGUCCCAAAAUUAUGGCUAAGUGGUAAAGGAAGUGAAACGUCCAAAACAGUCAGGAGGUUGGCUUAGAAGCAGCCAUCCUUUAAAGAAAGCGUAAUAGCUCACUGAUCUAAACAAGACGUCUUGCGCCGAAGAUGUAACGGGGCUAAAGCCAUAUACCGAAGUUGCGGAUUUACACGUUAAAGUGUAAGUGGUAGCGGAGCGUUCUGUAAGCCUGCGAAGGUGUACCGUAAGGUAUGCUGGAGGUAUCAGAAGUGAGAAUGCUGACAUGAGUAGCGAAAAGAAGAGUGAGAGACUCUUCCGCUGAAAGUCCAAGGUUUCCUGCGUAAAGCUAAUCUGCGCAGGGUUAGUCGGUCCCUAAGGCGAGGCAGAGAUGCGUAGUCGAUGGCAAUCAGGUUAAUAUUCCUGAACCGGCCCGGAAGUGACGGAUUGAGUAAAUUGUAAGUUCUUAUUGGAUUGAGCUUGCAGUGAAUCAGUCCCAGGAAAUAGCCCGGGUUAAGACCGUACCCGAAACCGACACAGGUGGACAGGUAGAGAAUACCAAAGCGCUUGAGAGACUAUGUUGAAGGAACUAGGCAAAAUACUUGCGUAACUUCGGGAUAAGCAAGCCCCAUUUUAAGGCAACUUAGGGCGGGGGGCACAUACUAGGGGGUAGCGACUGUUUACUAAAAACACAGGGCUCUGCUAAAUUGAAAGAUGAAGUAUAGGGUCUGACGCCUGCCCGGUGCUGGAAGGUUAAGGAGAGAUGUGCAAGCAUUGAACUGAAGCCCCAGUAAACGGCGGCCGUAACUAUAACGGUCCUAAGGUAGCGAAAUUCCUUGUCGGGUAAGUUCCGACCUGCACGAAUGGCGUAACGACUUCCCCGCUGUCUCCAACAUAGGCUCAGCGAAAUUGAACUCUGAGUUAAGAUGCUCAGUACCCGCGGUUAGACGGAAAGACCCCGUGAACCUUUACUAUAGCUUUGCAGUGGUAUUAGGUAACAAAUGUGUAGAAUAGGUGGGAUGCUAUGAAGCUACGACGCCAGUUGUAGUGGAGCAGACUUUGAAAUACCACCCUUUUGUUGUUUGAUAUCUAACCUGCU